AUUGAACGCUGGCGGCAUGCCUUACACAUGCAAGUCGAACGGCAGCACGGGUGCUUGCACCUGGUGGCGAGUGGCGAACGGGUGAGUAAUACAUCGGAACAUGUCCUGUAGUGGGGGAUAGCCCGGCGAAAGCCGGAUUAAUACCGCAUACGAUCUACGGAUGAAAGCGGGGGACCUUCGGGCCUCGCGCUAUAGGGUUGGCCGAUGGCUGAUUAGCUAGUUGGUGGGGUAAAGGCCUACCAAGGCGACGAUCAGGAGCUGGUCUGAGAGGAGGACCAGCCACACUGGGACUGAGACACGGCCCAGACUCCUACGGGAGGCAGCAGUGGGGAAUUUUGGACAAUGGGCGAAAGCCUGAUCCAGCAAUGCCGCGUGUGUGAAGAAGGCCUUCGGGUUGUAAAGCACUUUUGUCCGGAAAGAAAUCCUUGGCCCUAAUACGGUCGGGGGAUGACGGUACCGGAAGAAUAAGCACCGGCUAACUACGUG
rnacentral:rRNA from 1 species